UACGUAGGGUGCAAGCGUUGUCCGGAAUUUAUUGGGCGUAAAGAGCUCGUAGGCGGUUUGUUGCGUCGGCUGUGAAAUCCCGAGGCUCAACCUCGGGUCUGCAGUCGAUACGAGCAAACUAGAGUGUUGCAGGGGAGACUGGAAUUCCUGGUGUAGCGGUGAAAUGACGCAGAUAUCAGGAGGAACACCCGGUGGGCGAAGGCGGG
rnacentral:rRNA from 1 species